UUUCAGAUUGUUGUACUGGCUAAAGUCAUUAGAGAUAUGGACCAUAUUACUUUGUCUGCAAGAGGUGUUACUAUUUUAGUUGAUAGUCUGUAUUCAGUUCAGACUUCUACUAUUGUCUUGACAGGGAAUUUAAUAGCAAGCCUGGCUCAUUCUAGAGCUGGUAUCCCAGAAGCAUUUACCACAUUAGGAACAAUCCAACGGCUCUGCUAUCAUUUGUACUCGGGAAUAGAAGAGUCUGGAGAAGAAUGGAGGACCAUCCAUAAUUCCUAUCUUUUAAAAGAG
rnacentral:sRNA from 1 species